UAUGACUCUCUUAAGGUAGCCAAAU
rnacentral:ncRNA from 8 species